UAGGGAAUAUUGCACAAUGGAGGAAACUCUGAUGCAGCGACGCCGCGUGAGCGAUGAAGGCCUUCGGGUUGUAAAGCUCUGUGAUAUGGGAAGAUAAUGACGGUACCAUAUCAGAAAGGACCGGCUAACUUCGUGCCAGCAGCCGCGGUAAUACGAGGGGUCCAAGCGUUGUUCGGAAUUACUGGGCGUAAAGCGGGUGUAGGCGGCUAGGCAAGUUAGAUGUGAAAGCCCAGGGCUCAACCUUGGAAGUGCAUCUAAAAACUGCUUAGCUUGAAUACUGGAGAGGGAAGUGGAAUUCCUGGUGUAGCGGUGAAAUGCGUAGAUAUCAGGAGGAACAUCGGUGGCGAAGG
rnacentral:rRNA from 1 species